AAAUCCAUCUGGGUCGUUCGUCUGCCGCUGCACAGUCUUUCUGAUUCACCUUGUCCGUUCGAUCAGUUAAUAUUUUUCUCACUCGCGCCUUCUUUGGAUGGGUCACUGAUGACUGGACCCGAGCGCGUGUGCGGCCACCCGCGAGAGGCAGCGUGGGUGCUUGUUUGCGUACCUUUCAUCGUCGUCAUUUUCCUACGCGCGUGAGGUGAAAACCUAGAUCGAGAAAUGGCGUCCCCCACCUCCGCUCCCAUCCUCCAAUCAUUCACCUCCUUACUCCUCCCCCAACCCGCGCCGCCUCCUCUCCUCCUCCCAAGCAGGACGCAGCCGACGUGAGCAAGGAGGGAACUCGGGCGCCGCCGGAGAGCGGCCGCGGGGUGCUGCUGCGUGGAGCGCCAGUCACCGCCUCUCCUCCAUGCCAAGCAGGAUGCAACCGCAUCGGGCGGGAGGCGAUGGUCACCGCCGGUCGCGGGCGUCGCCGUGCGAAGAGCAGGUGGGGCCGCAUCAGCCGUCGCCUUGGGUCCUGCCGUUCCUCCCCAAUCGCCCGCCUCGACGUGUAGAGGGGUCGAAGCUGUGGGGGACGCAACAUUGGCGGCGGGCUUUCGCUGGAGGAGCGCGUCCUGGAGGAGGGUGGCGGCGUUCCAGCGAGAGGCCCUGGGUUGGGAGGAGAGGACGCGGGAGGAGGACGAGAAGGGGUGAGGGCGCUCGACCCCGCCGCCCAGCAACAACGACGGCCAACAUCUACAGCGACGCCGCUAGGGUUGGGCGACACCUCCAUCGGAGAUCCCUAUCGAAGCUUGCACAGGCUCCGUGUAGCCGCCGCCAGCGCCUCCUCGUUGCUGUGGGCAGUGCCAUCAAGGACAUCUUCCCCAAGCCUGGUCUCCACCAGCAGCGCCCCCUGGCGCUCGCACGGGAACCGGCUGGCACGUCCGUCUUCACCAGGCCAAGAAAGAUUAGGGUUUGGGUGUCCAGGAGAUUCACCGACAGCAGCACCAGCCAUCAUUGUUUUUUAUGGACUCCAUGGCUGUUGUAGGAAUGGAGCAAAAGGGUGAUUUUUUUGGAGGGUCUGAUCGUUGUUGUUCUGCUUGAUUACCACAACAAUAGGGUUGCUCCCUCCUGCAAAGUAUCGACCACAUCUAUGCCUCCCUCCACAUCAUCUCCUCUAUUUAUAUCUACAGAUUUUUUUUGUGCCAUAUAAUAAAAGGUGAAGAGCGGCGGUAGGGAACCACGCCUACGAGCAUGCUCAUGGUGGUACCUAGAUCCCAGCAAUGCAUGGUUACGGAUGUCCUCAGCCAGAGCUAGGCUUCCUUGUCGAUGACUUGCGAUCUACAGCAUCUG